rnacentral:rRNA from 1 species
AUUGAACGCUGGCGGCAGGCCUAACACAUGCAAGUCGAGCGGAUGAGUGGAGCUUGCUCCAUGAUUCAGCGGCGGACGGGUGAGUAAUGCCUAGGAAUCUGCCUGGUAGUGGGGGACAACGUUUCGGAAGGAACGCUAAUACCGCAUACGUCCUACGGGAGAAAGUGGGGGAUCUUCGGACCUCACGCUAUCAGAUGAGCCUAGGUCGGAUUAGCUAGUUGGUGAGGUAAAGGCUCACCAAGGCGACGAUCCGUAACUGGUCUGAGAGGAUGAUCAGUCACACUGGAACUGAGACACGGUCCAGACUCCUACGGGAGGCAGCAGUGGGGAAUAUUGGACAAUGGGCGAAAGCCUGAUCCAGCCAUGCCGCGUGUGUGAAGAAGGUCUUCGGAUUGUAAAGCACUUUAAGUUGGGAGGAAGGGCAGUAAGUUAAUACCUUGCUGUUUUGACGUUACCAACAGAAUAAGCACCGGCUAACUUCGUGCCAGCCGCCGCCGUAA